rnacentral:misc_RNA from 1 species
GAUGAAGAACGUAGCGAAAUGCGAUAAGUAAUGUGAAUUGCAGAAUUCAGUGAAUCAUCGAAUCUUUGAACGCACAUUGCGCCCGCCAGUAUUCUGGCGGGCAUGCCUGUCCGAGCGUCAUUUCAACCCUCGAACCCCUCCGGGGGGUCGGCGUUGGGGACCUCGGGAGCCCCUAAGACGGGAUCCCGGCCCCGAAAUACAGUGGCGGUCUCGCCGCAGCCUCUCCUGCGCAGUAGUUUGCACAACACGCACCGGGAGCGCGGCGCGUCCACGUCCGUAAAACACCCAACUUCUGACAUGUUGACCUCGGAUCAGGUAGGAAUACCCGCUGAACUUAAGCAUAUCAAUAAGCGGAGGA